rnacentral:rRNA from 1 species
ACGGAUAACAUACCGAAAGGUAUGCUAAUACGGGAUAAUAUAUUUGAGAGGCAUCUCUUGAAUAUCAAAGGUGAGCCAGUACAGGAUGGACCCGCGUCUGAUUAGCUAGUUGGUAAGGUAACGGCUUACCAAGGCGACGAUCAGUAGCCGACCUGAGAGGGUGAUCGGCCACAUUGGAACUGAGACACGGUCCAAACUCCUACGGGAGGCAGCAGUGGGGAAUAUUGCACAAUGGGCGAAAGCCUGAUGCAGCAACGCCGCGUGAGUGAUGAAGGCCUUCGGGUCGUAAAACUCUGUCCUCAAGGAAGAUAAUGACGGUACUUGAGGAGGAAGCCCCGGCUAACUACGUGCCAGCAGCCGCGGUAAUACGUAGGGGGCUAGCGUUAUCCGGAUUUACUGGGCGUAAAGGGUGCGUAGGCGGUCUUUCAAGUCAGGAGUGAAAGGCUACGGCCCAACCGUAGUAAGCUCUUGAAACUGGGAGACUUGAGUGCAGGAGAGGAGAGUGGAAUUCCUAGUGUAGCGGUGAAAUGCGUAGAUAUUAGGAGGAACACCAGUUGCGAAGGCGGCUCUCUGGACUGUAACUGACGCUGAGGCACGAAAGCGUGGGGAGCAAACAGGAUUAAAUACCCUGGUAGUCCACGCUGUAAACGAUGAGUACUAGGUGUCGGGGGUUACCCCCUUCGGUGCCGCAG